rnacentral:tRNA from 1 species
GGAAAUGUGGCCUAGUGGUAGAGUGCUUGCCUAGCAUGCAUGAAGCCCUGGGUUCGAUUCCUCAGUACCA